rnacentral:rRNA from 1 species
AACGAACGCUGGCGGCAUGCCUAACACAUGCAAGUCGAACGAGACCUUCGGGUCUAGUGGCGCACGGGUGCGUAACGCGUGGGAACCUGCCCUUAGGUUCGGAAUAACUCCCCGAAAGGGGUGCUAAUACCGGAUAAUGUCUUCGGACCAAAGAUUUAUCGCCUUUGGAUGGGCCCGCGUUGGUUUAGCUAGUUGGUAGGGUAAAAGCCUACCAAGGCGACGAUCCAUAGCUGGUCUGAGAGGAUGAUCAGCCACACUGGGACUGAGACACGGCCCAGACAUCGUAGGGUGGGAGCAAGUGGGAAUAUUAGACAAUGGGAGAAAACCUGAUCCAGCCAUGCCGCGUGAGUGAUGAAGGCCUUAGGGUUGUAAAGCUCUUUUACCCGGGAUGAUAAUGACAGUACCGGGAAAAUAAGCUCCGGCUAACUCCGUG